GACGAACGCUGGCGGCGUGCUUAACACAUGCAAGUCGAACGGAAAGGCCCUGAUUUUGUGGGGUGAUCGAGUGGCGAACGGGUGAGUAACACGUGUGUAACCUGCUCUUGUCUUUCGGAUAACUUCACGAAACUGGGGCUACUCCAGGAUAGGAGAUCCUGCAGCAUGGAGGGCGUUGGAAAGUCUCGGCGGUUGGGGAUGGACUAGCGGCUUAUCAGCUUGCUGGUGGGGUAGUGGCUUACCCAGGAUUUGACGGGUCGGCGGCCUGAGAGGGUGACCGGCGACAUUGGGACUGAGGGACGGCCCAGACGCCUACGGGAGGCAGUAGUGGGGAAUAUGGCACAAUGGGCGGAAGCCUGAUGCAGCGACGCCGCGGUCGGGAUGACGGCUUUCGGGGUGUAAACCGCUGUCGCCUGUGACGAAGCGGGAGUGACGGUAAUGGGUAAAGAAGCACCGGCUAACUACGUG
rnacentral:rRNA from 1 species